AGGAUGAACGCUGGCGGCGUGCUUAACACAUGCAAGUCGAACGGUGAAAGAGAGCUUGCUCUCUGGAUCAGUGGCGAACGGGUGAGUAACACGUGAGCAAUCUGCCCUUGACUCUGGGAUAAGCGUUGGAAACGACGUCUAAUACCGGAUACGAGCUGCGAAGGCAUCUUCAGCAGCUGGAAAGAACUUCGGUCAAGGAUGAGCUCGCGGCCUAUCAGCUAGUUGGUGAGGUAAUGGCUCACCAAGGCGUCGACGGGUAGCCGGCCUGAGAGGGUGACCGGCCACACUGGGACUGAGACACGGCCCAGACUCCUACGGGAGGCAGCAGUGGGGAAUAUUGCACAAUGGGCGCAAGCCUGAUGCAGCAACGCCGCGUGAGGGACGACGGCCUUCGGGUUGUAACCUCUUUUAGCAAGGAAGAAGCGAAAGUGACGGUACUUGCAGAAAAGCACCGGCUAACUACGUGCCAGCAGCCGUA
rnacentral:rRNA from 1 species